rnacentral:rRNA from 1 species
CCUACGGGAGGCAGCAGUGGGGAAUAUUGCACAAUGGACGGAAGUCUGAUGCAGCGACGCCGCGUGAGGGAUGACGGCCUUCGGGUUGUAAACCUCUUUCGCCCGGGACGAAGCGAGAGUGACGGUACCGGGAUAAGAAGCACCGGCUAACUACGUGCCAGCAGCCGCGGUAAUACGUAGGGUGCGAGCGUUGUCCGGAAUUAUUGGGCGUAAAGAGCUCGUAGGCGGUUUGUUGCGUCUGCCGUGAAAACCUGCAGCUUAACUGUGGGCGUGCGGUGGAUACGGGCAGACUUGAGUUCGGUAGGGGAGUCUGGAAUUCCUGGUGUAGCGGUGAAAUGCGCAGAUAUCAGGAGGAACACCGGUGGCGAAGGCGGGACUCUGGGCCGAUACUGACGCUGAGGAGCGAAAGCGUGGGGAGCGAACAGGAUUAGAUACCCCUG